GCUCAGAUUGAACGCUGGCGGCAUGCCUUACACAUGCAAGUCGAACGGUAACAGGUCUUCGGAUGCUGACGAGUGGCGAACGGGUGAGUAAUACAUCGGAACGUGCCCGAGAGUGGGGGAUAACGAAGCGAAAGCUUUGCUAAUACCGCAUACGAUCUCAGGAUGAAAGCAGGGGACCGCAAGGCCUUGCGCUCACGGAGCGGCCGAUGGCAGAUUAGGUAGUUGGUGGGAUAAAAGCUUACCAAGCCGACGAUCUGUAGCUGGUCUGAGAGGACGACCAGCCACACUGGGACUGAGACACGGCCCAGACUCCUACGGGAGGCAGCAGUGGGGAAUUUUGGACAAUGGGCGCAAGCCUGAUCCAGCCAUGCCGCGUGCAGGAUGAAGGCCUUCGGGUUGUAAACUGCUUUUGUACGGAACGAAAAGACUCUGGUUAAUACCUGGGGUCCAUGACGGUACCGUAAGAAUAAGCACCGGCUAACUACGUGCCAGCAGCCGCGGUAAUACGUAGGGUGCGAGCGUUAAUCGGAAUUACUGGGCGUAAAGCGUGCGCAGGCGGUUAUGUAAGACAGAUGU
rnacentral:rRNA from 1 species